UGUUACAGUGAGAAUCGGUCAUUCACUGAAUGAGUCUGAGAAGAACUGUGACCAGCAGGGGAGAAUCAGCUCUGGAGUGUCUUAAAAGACACGACAUACAAUGUAGUCUGGUAACUGUAUUGCAACCAUUCUGCAGUUUGUAAGCCAUAGAGACUUGUUUUAAUAUUAAUAACAGAUGUUGUUCUUUCAUAAAACAUUACAUAAAACACAACAUAAUUUCAAAACCCUGACAAACAUGUAAAAAUACAGACAGCAGCUCUGUUUAAGAGAAAUGUUUAUUUUGGAAGGGUUCGGGCAAGUCAUCUAACCUUUCAUCUAUAUAACCAUUUUUUACACUCGACUGAACUGAAACUGGAGUCCUUACAGAAGAAUAGUAAUAUAUAUGGAUUGACUAGCUCGACCUGGUAAAUGAACAAACACAUGAAUUUAUUUAGCUCAUCAGAUCCAGCUGAAUAUAAACAAAAUGCUAAACCUUUUUUAUUUUCAUAAGGUGCAUGGCAUCUUUAUACAAAGAAACUAACUGGCCCAGCAAGUUGGAAGCAGUGAAAUAUGACUUCAUACAGAAACUUGUUGAUCGUGGUUUCAGUUUCAAGGACAAAAUUUCAAAACUUCAGUUUGACAGACAUCUGGGCAGUGCUAUUUAUAACCAAGAUUGUGAAAGAGAUACUUCCAGUUUCGGAAGUCAGUUUGACCAAGGAGUUCAAAUAAAAGACCAGCCCGAGAUGGACAUGCUGUUCCUGCAAGACUUGAUGGAUGACCAAGCAUCUUCAGACAGAAAACAGACAGAUGUUCACUCCCACAGCGCUCCACAUGUGGCAAAGUGCUUUUGGCACUUGUGGAAGUGAAUCUUCUGGUCUUAAAAGAGGAGGAUCCUUCAUCCCAAAUUAAAAUUCUGAAUGGCUUACUGAAAGUCACUGACAAAAACCCAACAUACAUGUAAAGAAGUGCACAUUGACUUCCCUGAAAUGGCAAAAGAGGAGGAAUCUGCUCCAAAUGACUUUUAUGUGUUUAAAGGCCAAAAUAAACCGACAGUAAUUCAUAUUCCUCUUUUCAACAUUGUGAAUUGUGGAGCUGAAAUUGAAAGUUGGAAGCGUAAAUAUAAGACUCCAGAGACCUGAUCGAGGAGCUACUGCAUAAAGCUGGAAUGAACAUCAAAAAUAAAGAAAACCUCCUGACAGAGAUUAAGAAAUAA
ensembl:lncRNA